rnacentral:tRNA from 1 species
UAUUAAAUAUCUUAAAGUAAGAAUUGAUUUUUUAAUUCAAAUAAUAAUAAUUUAACGUUUAUUUUUAAUAA